rnacentral:rRNA from 1 species
CCUACGGGUGGCAGCAGUGAGGAAUAUUGGUCAAUGGGCGAUAGCCUGAACCAGCCAAGUAGCGUGAAGGAUGACUGCCCUAUGGGUUGUAAACUUCUUUUAUACGGGAAUAAAGUGCAGUACGUAUACUGCUUUGCAUGUACCUUAUGAAUAAGGACCGGCUAAUUCCGUGCCAGCAGCCGCGGUAAUACGGAGGUUCCGAGCGUUAUCCGGAUUUAUUGGGUUUAAAGGGAGCGUAGGCGGGUUGUUAAGCUUGUUGUGAAAGGUUGGGGCUCAACCGUGGAAUUGCAGUUGAUACUGGCGUGCUUGAGUACGGGAAAGGUAGGCGGAAUUCGUGGUGUAGCGGUGAAAUGCUUAGAUAUGACGAAGAACACCGAUUGCGAAGGCAGCCUGCUGGACUGUAACUGACGCUGAUGCUCGAAAGUGUGGGUAUCGAACAGGAUUAGAUACCCGAGUAGUC